CAGUAGCGUAUGUUAAAGUUGUUGCAGUUAAAAAGCUCGUAGUUGGACUUCUACGGAUUUUCGACAGGUCCCACGGACUUCGGUCUGAGGGUGACACUUUCGAAUCCGUUUUUUGCUGUGACCCUAUCUAUCUUUAAUUAGAUUGGAUAGUGUUGGAUCAGCUCUUUUACUUUGAGAAAAACAGUGUGCUCAAAGCAGGCGUUUCGCCUUGAAUAUGUUAGCAUGGGAUAAUACCAAAGACUGCGCAUCUACGUUGUUGGUUAUGGAUGUGAAGUAAUGAAUGAUGGGAACGGAUCGGGGGCCUCGGUAUUCUAGAGGGAGAGGUGAAAUUCUUGGAUCUCUGGAAGACCACCUGCUGCGAAAGCGUUGGCCAAGGAUGUCUCCGUCAA
rnacentral:rRNA from 1 species